UGAAUACGAGAUGCUACGGCGUCGAAGCAGUCUAUGUCAUACUUCCAAGAAAAGCUUGCACUGUCAUAAACAAAUAAUGCCUGUACCAUAACCGACACAGGUGGGUAGGUAGAGUAUACCAAGGGGCGCGAGAUAACUCUCUCUAAGGAACUCGGCAAAAUGACUCCGUAACUUCGGGAGAAGGAGUGCCUUAUUUAUAAGGUUGCAAUAACAAGAUCCAAGCAACUGUUUACCAAAAACACAGGUCUCCGCUAAGUCGUAAGACGAUGUAUGGGGGCUGACGCCUGCCCAGUGCCAGAAGGUUAAAGAAGUUGGUUAGCAUCCGCGAAGCUGAUAACUGAAGCCCUGGUGAACGGCGGCCGUAACUAUAACGGUCCUAAGGUAGCGAAAUUCCUUGUCGGGUAAGUUCCGACCCGCACGAAAGGCGUAAUGAUUUGGAUACUGUCUCGGAGAGGGGCUCGGUGAAAUAGACUUGUCUGUGAAGAUGCGGACUACCUGCACCAGGACAGAAAGACCCUAUGAAGCUUUACUGUAACCUGAAAUUGAAAUUGGACUUUACUUGCGCAGUAUAGGUGGGAGGCGUUGAGAAUAUUCUUGCGGGAUUAUUGGAGCCAUCAGUGAGAUACCACUCUUGUAAUGUUAGAUUUCUAACUUUGUAUCAUUAUCUGGUCAAAGAACAGUUUCAGGCGGGCAGUUUGACUGGGGCGGUCGCCUCCUAAACGGUAACGGAGGCGCACAAAGGUUUCCUCUGAACGGGUAGAAAUCGUAUCUAGAGUGUAAAGGCAUAAGGAAGCUUGACUGUGAGACCUACAAGUCGAGCAGGGACGAAAGUCGGUCUUAGUGAUCUGACGGUGCUGAGUGGAAAGGCCGUCACUCAACGGAUAAAAGUUACUCUAAGGAUAACAGGCUGAUCUCCCCCAAGAGUUCACAUCGACGGGGAGGUUUGGCACCUCGAUGUCGGCUCAUCGCAUCCUGGGGCGGUAGUACGUCCCAAGGGUUGGGCUGUUCGCCCAUGAAAGCGGUACGCGAGCUGGGUUCAGAACGUCGUGAGACAGUUCGGUCCAUAUCCGGUGUAGGCGUUAGAAUAUUGAGAGGAGCCUUCUUUAGUACGAGAGGACCGAGAAGGACAUACCUCUGGUGUACCAGUUAUCGUGCCAACGGUAAACGCUGGGUAGCUAUGUGUGGAGUGGAUAACCGCUGAAAGCAUCUAAGUGGGAAGCCCACCUCAAGAUAAGUAUUCUCAUC
rnacentral:rRNA from 1 species